AAAAAUUUAGUUUAUUAAAACAUUAAUUUGUCAAAUUAAAGAUAUUUAAAAAAUAAUUUUUA
rnacentral:tRNA from 1 species